rnacentral:lncRNA from 1 species
UGCACCUUCAUGCUAAGUUAGUUUGAAUAGAUGAAGUAAAUGAAUGAGAUGAAAGCUUAGGUUUUUUUAUUACCACUCCAUUCCCAACCCACAGCUGCCAAUAGAGUCUCCAGAAGCACCGCUGGUCUGCAUGGACUUUUUACAUGUUUAGAAACAAACCUUCUGCGCCUUCUGGUUCACAUGUUGAGAUGAAUGGUCUGUUUGACGAAGUGUCUGUCAUUACUUAACAAAUUCUACAAUGUGUUUUCUGGAGGGUGAGGGGAGGUGCCUCCUGGGUUAGGUACCAUUGGACACAGUCUGUAGAAUUAACCAUGGGGAAUCCGGAAUUCAUGUGAGCCCCAGGUACCUGGCACUGAGCUGGGGAGGUAUUCUGAAGUGAAGCUGGGGAAGCUGUGCGAUGCCACAGGGAACAGAGUCUGGGAAAAGCUGCAGAUUUAAAUGUUCUCACUGUUUCACCAACUUAUUAAUUCUUUUGUUCUAUAUCCAUGUCUACGUGGCUGUUAGAAGCAGACCUCUUUCAUCAAGCACAGCUCACACGAUGCACUGCAGCCGUCGCAGUGAGUCCGGGUCGGUUUGGCCCCUGGGCUGUCAGCAGCAACACCUCAGCAGGGUCAGCACCCUCCCAGCGCUGCCCAGCAGCAGCCCUUUGCUCGAAGGGACCUCGAGUGCAUGAUGGCAAUUUGUCCUCCACUGCAAAACACCGAAGCCAGAAAAUCAAGCCUUUGCAUGCCAAGAGCUGGAUGCCAAAAGCUGGCAGGGGAACAGCUCAGAAGAACCCAGGAAUGAAAGAGGACACGGGAAGGAUGCCAGAGCCUAAAGAAGUGAGAUAGAGGAACCGUCGGGAUGGCGACUGAGAAAGAACUGCCACUCCCAGCACUGCUUCCC